rnacentral:rRNA from 1 species
UAAGCAUAUCAAUAAGCGGAGGAAAAGAAACUAACAAGGAUUCCCCUAGUAACUGCGAGUGAAGCGGGAAAAGCUCAAAUUUAAAAUCUGGCGGUCUUUGGCCGUCCGAGUUGUAAUCUAGAGAAGCGUCUUCCGUGCCGGACCGUGUACAAAUCUCUUGGAACAGAGUAUCAUAGAGGGUGAGAAUCCCGUCUUUGACAUGGACUACCGGUGCUUUGUGAUGCGCUCUCAAAGAGUCGCGUUGUUUGGGAAUGCAGCGCAAAAUGGGUGGUGAAUUCCAUCUAAAGCUAAAUAUUGGCGAGAGACCGAUAGCGAACAAGUACCGUGAGGGAAAGAUGAAAAGCACUUUGGAAAGAGAGUUAAACAGUACGUGAAAUUGUUGAAAGGGAAACGCUUGAAGUCAGUCGCGUCURGCGGAACUCAGCCUUGCUUUUGCUUGGUGCACUUUCCGUUUGACGGGCCAGCAUCGAUUUUGACCGCUGGAUAAAGUUCARRGGAAUGUGGCACCYUCGGGUGUGUUAUAGCCUUUGUUCGCAUACAGCGGUUGGGAUCGAGGUUCGCAGCACGCCUUUUGGCCGGGGUUCGCCCACGUACGUGCUUAGGAUGCUGGCGUAAUGGCUUUAAACGAC